rnacentral:piRNA from 1 species
UAGAAUAAUUCACAGAACUUGACUG